rnacentral:rRNA from 1 species
UACGGAGGGUGCAAGCGUUAAUCGGAAUUACUGGGCGUAAAGGGUGCGCAGGCGGUUUGUUAUGUCCGUUGUGAAAGCCCCGGGCUCAACUUGGGAAUUGCAGUGGAUACUGGCAGGCUGGAGUACGGUAGAGGAAGGUGGAAUUCCCGGUGUAGCAGUGAAAUGCGUAGAGAUCGGGAGGAACAUCAGUGGCGAAGGCGACUCUUUGGCCUGUAACUGACACUGAGGCGCGAAAGCGUGGGGAGCAAACAGG